rnacentral:misc_RNA from 1 species
AAGAGUUGCAAAACUCCCACAAACCAUCGCGAACGUUACCCAGACGUCGUUGCUUCGGCGGGCUCGCCCGCCGGGGGGACGCUACCAGACUCUUGCAGUUCUUCGGCCUCCCUGAGUAUGAUUUUUUAAAUAAGUCA